GAUAACGGCGUCGAGCGGCGGACGGGUGAGUAAUGCCUAGGAAAUUGCCCUGAUGUGGGGGAUAACCAUUGGAAACGAUGGCUAAUACCGCAUAAUACCUACGGGUCAAAGAGGGGGACCUUCGGGCCUCUCGCGUCAGGAUAUGCCUAGGUGGGAUUAGCUAGUUGGUGAGGUAAUGGCUCACCAAGGCGACGAUCCCUAGCUGGUCUGAGAGGAUGAUCAGCCACACUGGAACUGAGACACGGUCCAGACUCCUACGGGAGGCAGCAGUGGGGAAUAUUGCACAAUGGGCGCAAGCCUGAUGCAGCCAUGCCGCGUGUGUGAAGAAGGCCUUCGGGUUGUAAAGCACUUUCAGUCGUGAGGAAGGUAGUGUAGUUAAUAGCUGCAUUAUUUGACGUUAGCGACAGAAGAAGCACCGGCUAACUCCGUGCCAGCAGCCGCGGUAAUACGGAGGGUGCGAGCGUUAAUCGGAAUUACUGGGCGUAAAGCGCAUGCAGGUGGUUUGUUAAGUCAGAUGUGAAAGCCCGGGGCUCAACCUCGGAAUAGCAUUUGAAACUGGCAGACUAGAGUACUGUAGAGGGGGGUAGAAUUUCAGGUGUAGCGGUGAAAUGCGUAGAGAUCUGAAGGAAUACCGGUGGCGAAGGCGGCCCCCUGGACAGAUACUGACACUCAGAUGCGAAAGCGUGGGGAGCAAACAGGAUUAGAUACCCUGGUAGUCCACGCCGUAAACGAUGUCUACUUGGAGGUUGUGGCCUUGAGCCGUGGCUUUCGGAGCUAACGCGUUAAGUAGACCGCCUGGGGAGUACGGUCGCAAGAUUAAAACUCAAAUGAAUUGACGGGGGCCCGCACAAGCGGUGGAGCAUGUGGUUUAAUUCGAUGCAACGCGA
rnacentral:rRNA from 1 species